rnacentral:rRNA from 1 species
UACAGAGGUCCCAAGCGUUGUUCGGAUUCACUGGGCGUAAAGGGUGCGUAGGUGGUGAGGUAAGUCCGAUGUGAAAGCUCCGAGCUCAACUCGGAAAUUGCAUUAGAAACUACCUUGCUCGAGGGUUGGAGGGGGGACUGGAAUUCUCGGUGUAGCAGUGAAAUGCGUAGAUAUCGAGAGGAACACCAGUGGCGAAGGCGACUACCUGGCCUGUUCUUGACGCUGAGGCGCGAAAGCUAGGGGAGCAAACGGG